rnacentral:rRNA from 1 species
AUUGAACGCUGCGGCAGGCCUAACACAUGCAAGUCGAGCGGUAGAGAGAAGCUUGCUUCUCUUGAGAGCGGCGGACGGGUGAGUAAUGCCUAGGAAUCUGCCUGGUAGUGGGGGAUAACGUUCGGAAACGGACGCUAAUACCGCAUACGUCCUACGGGAGAAAGCAGGGGACCUUCGGGCCUUGCGCUAUCAGAUGAGCCUAGGUCGGAUUAGCUAGUUGGUGGGGUAAUGGCUCACCAAGGCGACGAUCCGUAACUGGUCUGAGAGGAUGAUCAGUCACACUGGAACUGAGACACGGUCCAGACUCCUACGGGAGGCAGCAGUGGGGAAUAUUGGACAAUGGGCGAAAGCCUGAUCCAGCCAUGCCGCGUGUGUGAAGAAGGUCUUCGGAUUGUAAAGCACUUUAAGUUGGGAGGAAGGGCAGUUACCUAAUACGUAAUUGUUUUGACGUUACCGACAGAAUAAGCACCGGCUAA